UCCAAACAGAAGAGAGACGACAUUUUUGCUGUAAUUAGUUCUUUUAAAACCUUAACUCAGUCAAAUUUUUUAUUUUAUAUCUCUCAAAAUUUAGCUGACCAGUGAGUGAUCAGCUAUCUUUGCACGCUUGCUGUGAAAAACAAUUAUACUGACAAUUAUUGCUGAAUUUACCCUACAAUUUGAUGUAUUUCUUUUUUAGUUUUAAAGAGUUUAGAUUUUAGUUAGAAAAAAAAAGCAUAACUUCUCUUGACGUGCAUAAGGUUGUCUAUACAUUAUUCUUGCCAUACAGAACAUACUAGAUUCUGAUUGUGUGUGUAUGUUUUUGUGUUACAACAUGCAAGACUGCCUUGAAGAUUCAGGUGACCGCUACAUCCUUCAGACCUGUAGAUUUUAGCUUCUUGUUACUUGCUCUGAAAUUAUUUUUAAUGGACCUUUAAUGUGUGAUGUCUUUUUUUUAUAACCAAUGGUGAGUUUUGUUGAAACUUGAAGAGAAAUUUAUUCCACCCCUUUAAGAGUACCCAAAAGGGAAGGGAGAACUAUUCUCUUUCGGCUCAAAAAAUUUUUUUAGAAACCUUUUUCCCCCAACGGAAAACUCCAAAACAGCUCUGUCUCAGAACGUUAAACUUGGCAUGGGUAAGAAAUGUGAGUUUUGCUUUGUUUGAGGAAAUUUGUUUUUGAGACAACAAUGUUAUAAAUAUUUUUAAGUUGCCUGCUGAGCAUGCGCUGUCUCUGACUUUAUUCAUAGUUUUAAAUACACACCAAUGCAAUCUUCUGAAUGGCCACAGGUAAGGCUGUCGGUUUGUGGGAUUCUACUCUGAGGCACCUUCAGUGAGUCUCCUCAGUUUUCCAGAAGGGAAAAGGGCAGGAGCUGAGCUCAGACCUGGAUACCCUUCUAACUAUCAUAGAGAAAAAGUGAAUUGCACACUAAGGCUUGCACACUGUACUUAGGAUACACACCCAGGUGCUCUUGCUUGUUCUGUGUAGUCAUUGCUGCUGAAGUGCAGUCUCUGCAGUCAGUGAUGGACACACUUCCCAUCUCCAGAAAGCUCUAUCUCCAUUCUCGGUGUGAUGUUGUCUCACGUAGUCGCCUUCUCAGGUCUGCACUGUGGCUCUCAGGCUGCACAGUUCUGACUGAUUCUUACUCGAGCGUAGUUCUUCACUAGCUGUCUGUUAGAGUCAUGGUGGAGGGUUUUUUUCUCAUUCUGGGAGGCCUUUUUAACUAUUCAAACAAGUUACCCUUGAAGAUGAAAUUUCUCAUACUUGUGACUCGGAACUGAACUUGUCUUGAAAAGAUUUGUAAAACAAAUCUAAUUAGUCAUUUGGAUUUUGUUGUUGUUGUUGUU
ensembl:lncRNA